GGUCCCAUUGAUAAUAACACAAGCCGCAGCUCAUCGAAGCCCCCUGCAGCAUGUCCACCUUCUCCAGACACACUGCCUCCAGCCCCCAACAGGUCCGUCAGUGGGAAGAAGCUGUGCUCCAGCUGUGGGCAGCCUCUGGGAAAAGGUGCAGCAAUGAUCAUAGAGACCCUCAGCCUCUACUUCCACAUUCACUGCUUUAAGUGUGGGGUGUGUAAGGGACAGUUAGGCGACACAACCACGGGCACGGACGUUCGAAUCAGAAACGGCCUCCUCAACUGCCACCAGUGCUACAUCCGCUCCCGCUCGGCCGGACAGCCCACCACGUUGUGACGCUCAACUGAAAAAGCACAAGGUUCACAGAAGGAGCCCCAUCCCUGCUUUAACCCGAUUAUCUGCAAAUCAUGUCCUUCAGCGUGCGGCGGGAUCUUUGCAUCCUCUGCAGCUCAAUAACCAAUGAAGAUUCAUCAUGUGGGGCCGAGUGGGGAUCUGGGGACAGUCACACAAUGACAAAAAAAAUAUAUAUAUAUAAAUAUAUUCAUCGUGUUUAUGUCAUCUGAUACGUGAGUGAAAUCUGGAUUUGAUUGGUCCACGCACCACCACAGACUCCGUUUCAUCACGCGGCGAGAAAGAGAGAGUCGGCUCGGGGGUGGCGGCCAUGUUGAAAAGAAAAGAUGCAGAUUACAGAUGCUUUGAACGCAGUCGACGUCCUUCACUGUCGGAGUGAACACACAAAGAGAAAACGGUGUUUGAAUCGAGAAGUGGAAUCAGAUUCUAUUUUCCUGGAUGGAAAAAUGAUGUUAAUGUUUCAGUUAAUAGCUUUCGGUUCCAUAUGAUGGAAAUGCAGUAAAUCGUUGAGUUAAUGUCAUCAUUUAAGAAAGAUUAUUUUCAUAAUUACAUUUGAUAAGAAAUCCAAAAGCCAGGAUUGAAAGAUGAGGCAGCUCAGAUCAGACUUUUUAAUUUCUCGUAACUGGAUCUGAAUUAGUUUCAUGAUUUCACGUCCCUGCAGCAAACGACACGACCAAAACAAAAAGGUUUCUCAAGCUUCAUUCAGAAAGUGAAGUGAAGGUCACUAUAAAGCCUCUAUAUCCACCGUAGUGAUCUCUCACGUCCCCGUGUUCUGUGCUCGGGGACGAGAAAAAAAAAAAAAAGAACCCUCUAAUAUAAACACAUAUUAUGGACGUAGGUCAUCAUCGGGGCAAUAACAGCUGCUGGGCCGCAGGAGGUUGUUGCUCGGGUCAGGAGAAGUCAGGACUUUCAUGUGCCUUAAGAAAGCAAGAGGGUGCAGGGAGAAGAAAACACACACCUGGGGUGGAGGGAGGGAUUUGGCCAAAUUGAAACUCUUAAAAACUGCAGACGGAAAAGCUGCAGCCCUCCCUCACCCUCACAUCACGCUUUACUGCAGAACUUUUUAUUUCCACUUAAGCAACACGUUUAAUUUCACAACGCCCCCCUGGUAUUCCUCCGUGAUUUGAAGUGACGAACACAAUGCAAAUAAAGGAAUACGGAAGAAUAUAGAGUAUAUAUAUAUAUAUAUGUUUGUAUAUAUAUAUAUAUAUAUAUGUAUAUAUCUACUGCAGGGGAAACCAUACAUUUUAUUUUGAAUGUUUUGCUCUAGAACGGUUUAGACUUCUGUAUGCUAUUAAUUGAGGUAAUUUUGAUAAUUGCUCAGUGGUAAGGAUUCAUUUAUAAAAUAAAAAAAAUUAAGAAUUAAAAAGUCACCAGUACAUGUUCCAUCCAGUAAGAACAGCAGCGGUAACAUGGACACACACAUACCAGCAGCAGCAGUUGCACCUGUGCAAUAUUUGGUUGGAUGGAAACUAAAGAUCUUUGCCGCCAGCUGGAAAACGCCAAGUCAGUCGCUUCUUUUCUUUUUAUGAAGUUGUAUGAGAAGAGCUUGGUUCUGUAUUGUGGAUCUCUUUUCUUUUUUUUUUUUUUUAAAUGCACGUUUAAGCCUAAAACCAAAUGAUUUGCUGUAUGAAAGCAAACUAGCAGCCUCCUCCUCCUCCUCCUCCUCCUCCUCCACCUCCUCCUCCACCUCCUCCAUCUAUAGCCAAGCUUCUCCAGGUUCAUCUCUCUGAUCUACAGUAUUUUUAAGCUUCUGUUCCGAUUGUGUAUUUUAUUUUUUAUCCUCAUUUAGUUGAUGAAUAAAUCUCGGCUGAGUCUCUUAUAGCAGGAUCUUUGAGACGGAGGCUCUAUAUUCAGACGGUCUUCUUUAACGGGAUAGCUGGGAAAUGGAAACCUUUAACGUCUGUUCUGUAUUUAUUGUAAUAUUCACCUGAACACUAUCUGAAAUAUAGAUUAAUUUGAUGUUUAAAUGCAAUGGCAUUUAUAGCAUA